rnacentral:rRNA from 1 species
AACGAACGCUGGCGGCAUGCCUAACACAUGCAAGUCGAACGAGACCUUCGGGUCUAGUGGCGCACGGGUGCGUAACGCGUGGGAACCUGCCCUUAGGUUCGGAAUAACUCCCCGAAAGGGGUGCUAAUACCGGAUAAUGUCUUCGGACCAAAGAUUUAUCGCCUUUGGAUGGGCCCGCGUUGGAUUAGCUAGUUGGUAGGGUAAAAGCCUACCAAGGCGACGAUCCAUAGCUGGUCUGAGAGGAUGAUCAGCCACACUGGGACUGAGACACGGCCCAGACUCCUACGGGAGGCAGCAGUGGGGAAUAUUGGACAAUGGGCGAAAGCCUGAUCCAGCAGCGCCGCGUGAGUGAUGAAGGCCUUAGGGUUGUAAAGCUCUUUUACCCGGGAUGAUAAUGACAGUACCGGGAGAAUAAGCUCCGGCUAACUCCGUG